CAAGGGAGGGGAGUUGCACCUUU
rnacentral:miRNA from 1 species